UCACGGCAUUCGCUUUCUUUCCAUCCAGAUUCCCGCUGCCGAGGGAGCCCGGAGAGACUCAAAGAAACCCUGAGGGCCAGACUAGAUUGGCAAUCCCUGGCUGACUCCUGGUUCUCUCUUUUCACGUUGUCUUUCCGCUUGACUUACAAACAAAAAAAAGUGAGUUUCUCUCGCUGCUCUUUUUGAGAAGCCUCUCCACUUCCAUUCCAAGAGAAAGAGACGGAGUAGAUACACCAGUCCCAACACAGUUUUCUUCAAGAGGAAUGGCUAGUCAUUCUUUAGUUGGUUGUAAGCCCCUGGAAACCACUAAUCUACUUUCUGUCUCCAUGGAUUUAACUAUUCUGGAUAUUUCAUAUAAACGGAAUCAUACGAAGCUUACGCAUGGACAGAGGGGACAGAGAGGAGAGGGCUGCUGUGAGUUUUGGUUGAUGGUAUGGAAAGCUUCCUCUCCCACAACUCGUGAUUGAGACUUGCUGCUGACCUCUGCUGCUUGCCUCAACAGAGAACAUUUUCAGCCCAUCCACUUGAGAGGAAUGCUUCUGAAUGGAGUGUGUUCUUUUAUUGUUCCUUUGGCCCCUGAAGAACAGGUCUUCGAGGAGCAGCAGUGCUCACUGGGUUCCCCUCCCUGCUCCAGGGCCUGAAACCUCUCCAGACAAAGCUGGGGCGACCUUAGGCUCGCCUCAUUUGUUCCUCUUUUCUGAGGGAUCACUGCCCUUCAUGCCUGAUGUCCAAUGUCUUAGACUGUUGUUUCAGUUGAUUUUCAGUUGUUUCAGGCUAAAGCAUACAUUUAGACCCUGUUAUUCCAUUUUGACGAGAAGAAGAAAUGCCAGUACAGGCAGGUUUAAUAUACUAAUCUCUCUACAUUUUUUACAUGUUUGAAAUUU